UAAAGGUGGGCACUCUGGGGAGACUGCCGGUGACAANCCGGAGGAAGGUGGGGAUGACGUCAAGUCNUCAUGGCCCUUACGGCCUGGGCUACACACGUGCUACAAUGGAACGUACAGACGGUUGCGAANCNGCGAUGUGGAGCUAAUCNNAUAAAACCUUUCNNAGUNCGGAUNGGAGUCUGCAACUCGACUCCNUGAAGUCGGAAUCGCUAGUAAUCGCGAAUCAAAAUGUCCCGGUGAAUACGUUCCCGGGCCUUGUACACA
rnacentral:rRNA from 1 species